GGCUGCAGCUAUAUCUCAUCUAUAUCAGUUGAUUCAACAAACAAAAACAGCUGCUGAUCAUCAUUAUCACCAGAAUCUUGCUAAAGAUCAUGGGAGGUUGGGAGAUCGAAACCCUAAUUACCUUCUAAAGACUUUUCAUCUGAGUGGUGCAAUGGUAGAAAACCUCAAGAAGAAAGUAUUGGGCGAGGGGAGAAACAGCAGCGUCUCAUGUUCCUCCUUUGAGGUACUCACAGCUCAUCUAUGGAAGGCAAGAACCAAGGCUUUAGGAGUAACGAAGGAGAGAAUGGUGUGCCUGCAAUUUGCUGUGGACACAAGGAACAAGAUGAUGCCCUCACUGCCUAAAGGUUUCAGUGGCAAUGCUUAUGUUCUGGCAUCGGUGUUGACGAGAGCCGGAGAACUGGAAGAAGGAAGCCAUGAAGCGAUAAUAGAGAAGAUAAAACAAGCUAAGAACUCUGUCAACAGUGACUAUGUGAAUGCAUAUAUGGAGGCACUUGAUGGACCUCAAGCUAAUCUCCCUCCUCUGGAUGAGCUGACAUUAGUUUCUGACUGGACAAGAAUGCCUUUCCACAAGGUUGAUUUUCUACAAGGAGACGCAGCUUAUGCAUCUCCUCUGGUUGCUCCAAUCCCUCAGGCUGCAUACUUUAUGCAGAAUCCAAUGGAUUUCGGGGGCAUUGAUGUGAGGAUUAGCUUGACUCCACAGGCCCUGGAUUCUUUUUCCCACUACUUUCUCAUGAACCUUUUAUAAACAUCCUAUUUAUCUGUGUAGUAACUUGCCCUUUUCAUCAAGGACGUUUGGUGUAGUUGUUGGAGGCCAGAUGAUAGCUUUUUGACCUCUGUUUCAGCUUCCCACAGUAGCUGAUUCUAAAAACUUCAUUUUGUAGCUUUAAGAGGCAAGAUAAUGAUAUAUCAUACUCUG
rnacentral:misc_RNA from 1 species